GACGAACGCUGGCGGCGUGCCUAAUACAUGCAAGUCGAACGCAGUGGGGACGGGUGAGUAACACGUGGGUAACCUCCCAUCAGAAGGGAUAACACUUGGAAACAGGUGCUAAACCGAUACUCUUGGAUGGACCCGCGGUGCAUUAGCUAGUUGGUGAGGUAACGGGUCACCAAGGCCACGAUGCAUAGCCGAGGUGAGAGGGGGAUCGGCCACACGUGGACUGAGACACGGCCAAGACUCCUACGGGAGGCAGGAGUAGGGAAUCUUCGGCAAUGGACGAAAGUCUGACCGAGCAACGCCGCGUGAGGGAAGAAGGUUUUCGGAUCGUAAAACUCUGUUGGUAGAGAAGCGGGAUGUAAAAAGAAAGCCACGGCUAACUACGUGCCAGCCGCCGCGGUAAUUG
rnacentral:rRNA from 1 species